GGAGGAUUCGUCCAACGGAAGUAGAGGAAAGUGGCGGACGGGUGAGUAACGCGUGAGGAACCUGCCUUGAAGAGGGGGACAACAGUUGGAAACGACUGCUAAUACCGCAUGAAGCAUAGGGGUCGCAUGAUUCUUAUGCCAAAGAUUUAUCGCUUCAAGAUGGCCUCGCGUCUGAUUAGCUAGUUGGCGGGGUAACGGCCCACCAAGGCGACGAUCAGUAGCCGGACUGAGAGGUUGAACGGCCACAUUGGGACUGAGAUACGGCCCAGACUCCUACGGGAGGCAGCAGUGGGGAAUAUUGGGCAAUGGGCGCAAGCCUGACCCAGCAACGCCGCGUGAAGGAAGAAGGCUUUCGGGUUGUAAACUUCUUUUAAGAGGGAAGAGCAGAAGACGGUACCUCUAGAAUAAGCCACGGCUAACUACGUGCCAGCAGCCGCGGUAAUACGUAGGUGGCAAGCGUUGUCCGGAUUUACUGGGUGUAAAGGGCGUGCAGCCGGGUCUGCAAGUCAGAUGUGAAAUCCAUGGGCUCAACCCAUGAACUGCAUUUGAAACUGUAGAUCUUGAGUGUCGGAGGGGCAAUCGGAAUUCCUAGUGUAGCGGUGAAAUGCGUAGAUAUUAGGAGGAACACCAGUGGCGAAGGCGGAUUGCUGGACGAUAACUGACGGUGAGGCGCGAAAGUGUGGGGAGCAAACAGGAUUAGAUACCCUGGUAGUCCACACUGUAAACGAUGAAUACUAGGUGUGCGGGGACU
rnacentral:rRNA from 1 species